rnacentral:rRNA from 1 species
GAUGAACGCUGGCGGUAUGCCUUACACAUGCAAGUCGAACGGUAGAGGAGCAAUCCUCGAGAGUGGCGAACGGGUGAGUAAUACAUCGGAACGUGCCCAGUCGUGGGGGAUAACGUAGCGAAAGCUACGCUAAUACCGCAUACGACCUGAGGGUGAAAGCGGGGGACCGCAAGGCCUCGCGCGAUUGGAGCGGCCGAUGGCAGAUUAGGUAGUUGGUGGGGUAAAGGCCCACCAAGCCUGCGAUCUGUAGCUGGUCUGAGAGGACGACCAGCCACACUGGGACUGAGACACGGCCCAGACUCCUACGGGAGGCAGCAGUGGGGAAUUUUGGACAAUGGGCGAAAGCCUGAUCCAGCCAUACCGCGUGCGGGAAGAAGGCCUUCGGGUUGUAAACCGCUUUUGUCAGGGAAGAAAUGCUCCGGGCUAAUACCCUGGGGUGAUGACGGUACCUGAAGAAUAAGCACCGGCUAACUCCGUGCCAGCCGCCGCGGUAAAAC